UACGUAGGGUGCGAGCGUUGCCCGGAUUUAUUUGGCGUAAAGGGCGCGUAGGCGGCUCGGCACGUCCGUUGUGAAAUCGCCCGGCUCAACUGGGCGGGGUCAGCGGAUACGGUCGAGCUUGAGCAAGCUAGGGGGUAAUGGAAUUCCCGGUGUAGUGGUGGAAUGCGUAGAUAUCGGGAGGAACACCAGUGGCGAAGGCGGUUACCUGGGGCUUUGCUGACGCUGAUGCGCGAAAGCGUGGGGAGCGAUCCGG
rnacentral:rRNA from 1 species